rnacentral:rRNA from 1 species
UACGUAGGGGCUAGCGUUGUCCGGAAUCAUUGGGCGUAAAGAGCGUGUAGGCGGCCCGGUAAGUCCGCUGUAAAAGUCAAAGGCUCAACCUUUGAAUGUCAGUGGAUACUGCCGGCUAGAGUCCGGAAGAGGCGAGUGGAACUCCUGGUGUAGCGGUGGAAUGCGCAGAUAUCAGGAGGAACACCGGUGGCGAAGGCGGGUCUCUGGGCAGUAACUGACGCUGAGGAGCGAAAGCGUGGGAGCGAACAGG